GCUUUCUUAGUAUUAUUAAGUACCGCUGACUUCCAAUCAGCUAGACCCAGAUAAUCCUGGGAGAAAGUA
rnacentral:tRNA from 1 species